CAGGUAGGGAUACCCGCUGAAC
rnacentral:rRNA from 2 species